rnacentral:rRNA from 1 species
GCAAGUCGAGGGGUAGCAGGAUUUAGUUUACUAGAUUGCUGACGACCGGCGCACGGGUGCGUAACGCGUAUGCAACCUGCCUCUUACUGGGAGAUAGCCCGGAGAAAUCCGGAUUAAUACCCCAUAGUAUCCAAGAUUCGCAUGUUUUUUGGAUUAAAGUUUCGACGGUAAGAGAUGGGCAUGCGUGACAUUAGUUUGUUGGUGAGGUAACGGCUCACCAAGACUACGAUGUCUAGGGGGUCUGAGAGGAUGAUC